rnacentral:sRNA from 1 species
AAAGCGCCGGGGCCCCCUGCGGGAGGUAGGAGAGGCACAAUGGUGGGGCUGCCUGGUAUCCCCAGACUUCAAGGCAUAGCCCCGCGGACGCGCAGGCCCAGCUUUCGUGUGGUUUGUUUUUCUCGCUCCUUUAAUCGAGUCGAGAGGAAAACUCCUACAACAGGCCCAGCCUCGCGGUGUGGGCGGCGGCUGUCCCGCGUGAACGGCUCUCAUGCUGCCCGACCCACUUCUCUCCUUGUGGUCUCCAGGUGUCAUCGGACUGGUGGCCUUGUACCUGGUGUUCGGUUAUGGAGCCUCUCUCCUCUGCAACCUGAUAGGAUUUGGCUACCCAGCCUACAUCUCAAUUAAAGCUAUAGAGAGUCCCAACAAAGAAGAUGAUACCCAGUGGCUGACCUACUGGGUAGUGUAUGGUGUGUUCAGCAUUGCUGAAUUCUUCUCUGAUAUCUUCCUGUCAUGGUUCCCCUUCUACUACAUGCUGAAGUGUGGCUUCCUGUUGUGGUGCAUGGCCCCGAGCCCUUCUAAUGGGGCUGAACUGCUCUACAAGCGCAUCAUCCGUCCUUUCUUCCUGAAGCACGAGUCCCAGAUGGACAGUGUGGUCAAGGACCUUAAAGACAAGGCCAAAGAGACUGCAGAUGCCAUCACUAAAGAAG